AUGGAUUGGACCGUUAGGUCUGACUGUUGAAGGUCAGGCAGGGAGAGACGACAGUUUAAAGAAGUGCUACUGUUUGGAACAUUUAGCUGAUUGUGGCUUCCAGCCCUGUGAGGAGCAGAGACAUCCUGCAGAGAUCGGUGGAUCAGCAGAACUCAUAAGGGAAGCUGGUAGAGGAUGCUUCAGUAACACAUCUGACUCUGGCAUAGGUUGACUGGAUGGAGAAAUUGACUGAGGAGGUGCACCAAUCCUAGGACUAGGUAGCAUACAGAACAUUACAUUAUUUACUUACAUGUUGAGGUGGAACCCUCUCGGGGCCCUGCUCUAAGGGUACAGGAACUAUUAAGCUCUGAAGUGGCACAGUUGGAUUGGUAGAAAUAACUUGGCCUUGCAUCAUUGGACAUGCUGUA